rnacentral:rRNA from 1 species
AUUGAACGCUGGCGGCAGGCCUAACACAUGCAAGUCGAACGAGUGGCGGACGGGUGAGUAAUGUCUGGGAAACUGCCCGAUGGAGGGGGGUAACUACUGGAAACGGUAGCUAAUACCGCAUACCAUCGGAUGUGCCCAGAUGGGAUUAGCUAGUAGGUGGGGUAACGGCUCACCUAGGCGACGAUCCCUAGCUGGUCUGAGAGGAUGACCAGCCACACUGGAACUGAGAGCCGGUCCAGACUCCUACGGAAGGCAGAAUUGGGGAAUAUUGGACAAUGGGGGCAAGCCUGAUGCAGCCAUGCCGCGUGUAUGAAGAAGGCCUUCGGGUUGUAAAGUACUUUCAGCGAGGAGGCGUUACGCGCAGAAGAAGCACAGGCUAACUCCGUGCCAGCAGCAGCGGUAAUUC